UACAGAGGGGGCAAGCGUUGUUCGGAAUUACUGGGCGUAAAGGGCGCGUAGGCGGCCUUUUAAGUCGAACGUGAAAUCCCCGGGCUCAACCCGGGAACUGCGUCCGAUACUGGAAGGCUUGAAUCCGGGAGAGGGAUGUGGAAUUCCAGGUGUAGCGGUGAAAUGCGUAGAUAUCUGGAGGAACACCGGUGGCGAAGGCGACAUCCUGGGCCGGUAUUGACGCUGAGGCGCGAAAGCCAGGGGAGCAAACGGG
rnacentral:rRNA from 1 species